rnacentral:rRNA from 1 species
GAUCAUGGCUCAGGAUGAACGCUGGCGGCGUGCCUAAUACAUGCAAGUAGAACGCUGAAGGAAGGAGCUUGCUCUUUCCGGAUGAGUUGCGAGCUGGUGAGUAACGCGUAGGUAACCUGCCUGGUAGCGGGGGAUAACUAUUGGAAACGAUAGCUAAUACCGCAUAACAGUAGAUGUUGCAUGACAUUUACUUGAAAGGUGCAAUUGCACCACUACCAGAUGG